AGGCUGUUGGGAGUUGAGAAAAAGCUGUUGGGAGCUGGUAGCAACUGUAAGGAGCUGUUGGUUCUUUUGGAGGAGCUCGUCAUGCUGACUUUCCUGAUGAACUUGGAUAUUUUCAAACUCCAAGGAGCGGGGACCUUGUUGGCAUUGAGAAUAGUUUUGGUUCACAUUGGAGAAGCUCUGGUCCUCACUGUGAGCAUCACUUCGUGGCUACGGAGGGGAAGAUGGUGCAUUGCCAGUCUCCUGGAGAAGCUUGCUGUGUUGGUUUUCCUGAUGGGAACUCAGCUUUCCUGAUCAUCGGAAGAGCUCGGGACCUUGCUGAGGAUGCGCCAAAAGAUUUUGGAAGUGGAAAAGAGGAUGCUGGCAUUGGUGUGCAGAACAUUAAAAUGCACAAAACAGUCCCUGGAAUGAGAGCCCUCAGCCAUGAAAAGACAACCAGCGCGACCAGUUUUUUUCCGCUUCCCUGCAGACUCCCACGCGCAUUAUCUGAUUGGAAAGCCUGUACAGCCGAUGGACAGAAUGGUCCCGAGGACCAGGUGGAUGAGAAGACAGGAUGGCCUAGCACUGGGACUGUUUUCCACAUUUAAUGGCCAGACUGAAGAAAAUGAAAUGGUCAUUCAGAAGAGCUGUCAGAUAAUUCGAGAGAAAAGUAGGACAGAAUAAUGGAUAUCUUCUGUUUGUCCACUCUGCAUGCCAUUUGGAUAUCAGGAGAUAAUUUCUGUGAAUGAUGUCACCUAGGCUUCCUUGCCUCUGGCUGGAUGUUGGGUCAGCCAAUGAAAGAGACAGAUCAGAUACACUGGCCUGCCUCCCUCCCUGUAAUGCGGUAGUUUCAGCAGCUCCAUUCUUCCAAAUUCUACAGUUUCGACAGUACAGUGAGUAAGUGAAGAAUUUGAGAAUACAUGAACUAUAAAAAGUAAAAUAAAACAGACUAUGGGUCAAUCUUAGGAAACAUUUUGUGCAGUUGUAAGCAGAAAAAUGCAGGCACUAUUAAGCCAUGGCAGAACAGGUUGGAUUUAACAUUGCCCUUCACUGAAUUACAGCUAUUGGCUCCUUUUUGAAUUCUUUGCCUGUAUUCCACAUAUGCAGUGCAGUGUGAAGGGAUUUAUUUCAUUUAUUUUGGAUUGGGAAGGUAAUUUGUAGUUUGAGUCCAAACUGAGAAAGUUCCCCUAUUGAGCAAGAACAGUAAUUCCAUGAUAAUUUCUAAGGCUGUUAAACACCCUUCCUGUAUGCAGAAGCUCAGUUUUUAACUGUUUUUGAACCAAUGUCAUAGUUAGGCAUGAUGGCAGUAUCUGGAAAGCUGGGGAAAAGACUGCAAGCUCAAGCCCAGCCUGGGCAAAUUAGUGAUUUUGCAAGAACCUGUCUCAAAAAAGUGUGAAGAGUGUGUGUGGGUAGGGGGUGUAGCUCAGUGCAAGGGCAACGGAUUCAAUCCCCAGCCCUGCAAACAAACCAAAGAAACUAACAAACAGUAACAUGUAGGUUAUGUACAUAUAGAAAAUUAGAUCUAUAUAUAGUAAGGGUGCAGAAAUAGAGUUUAAAAAUGGGCUGAGAAUUCAAAGUCUGAUAGAUUACAAAUCCAAGAUUUUCAAUUCCCUAAUUACUUUAUACUACUUAUAAAUUUUACAUUGCAUUGCUAUACCUUAUCUAUACUAUAUUAUACUGUUUUAUAAAACAGUCUUAGUAAUUAUUACCUUCAUAUUGCUACUUGUGGUCAUGAAAACUUGUGGACCCUACUACAUCUCCAAAAAUGCCAAUAAAACAGUCUGUGGAUUUGGAUCAGAUAUUACUCUCCUGGUUAUUACUUUGGUUCUUGUUUACCCUGGGGGCUGGACUCUAAGUUCUGUCCACAUGUUGCUUCCUGACUACUCCGUUUUAGUUGAAAGUCUCUGGUUUCUAUUCCUUAGUACCUUACACUCUGUCAGGUUCCCUUUGAUUCAUCUGAGCUCCCAGCCUAGGCCCUUCAUAAUUACAUGGCUGCUCAUCUUGUACUUUUUGACACUUGUAACAAGGCUAUAUGGCAUGGACAUGCAUUGAGUUUGGGGUAAAUUUAUAUCAUGCAUUGGGAUAUUCAAACAGAUUAAUACAUAUGAUUGUCACUAGUAACUGUUACUGUUAAUACUUCUGGCCUAACUUGUAUUUGUUUUAUCUGGUUAUCAGGAGGUGUACUGAUACAAAAAUUUUGGUUAGCUAUUUAUUCAUGUGGAGCUUUUAUAAAAAUAAAAAUUCAUUAAAUUGUUCAGACAUUGAACCUGCAAUGAACACAUCCAUCAUUCUAAAACAAUAUUGUAAUUGGAGAUGAAUAUUUAAUAUUGAUCAAUUAUUUGGUUAUAUAUUGUAUCGUUUAUUAAGGUUAAAACACCUAGUUUAGUGCCACUUGAGUUUGUCAUUUUCCAAAGCAUAUCCAAAGAUAAUAAUAAUGGCAUGACAAUGAAUUAAAAUGUUUGGAGGAAAAUAGCCAUAAAAGGCAAAUACCUUUAGUGUCUAUUUUUAAGAAGAGAGUUUUAAGUUAGGUCUAGUUUGGGAAUUGAAGGAUAAACAAGAAUUCAUGAGGAGAGUGAGUGAUAAAAAGAAUUCUAGGCAGAUGUUACUCUUCAU
ensembl:lincRNA